ACGAACGCUGGCGGCGUGCCUAACACAUGCAAGUCGGACGGGGUUAUCGGGCAGCUUGCUGCCUGAGACACCCAGUGGCGCACGGGUGAGUAACACGUGGGCAAUCUGCCCGGAAGACCGGGAUAACAGGCCGAAAGGGCUGCUAAUACCGGAUACGCCCGUCCUGCCGCAUGACAGGACGGGGAAAGAUUUAUCGCUUUCGGAUGAGCCCGCGUCCCAUUAGCUAGUUGGUGAGGUAACUGCUCACCAAGGCAACGAUGGGUAGCUGGUCUGAGAGGACGAUCAGCCACACUGGAACUGAGACACGGUCCAGACUCCUACGGGAGGCAGCAGUGGGGAAUCUUGCGCAAUGGGCGAAAGCCUGACGCAGCAACGCCGCGUGAACGAAGAAGGCCUUCGGGUCGUAAAGUUCUGUCAGGGGGGACGAAGUUUUGACGGUACCCCCGGAGGAAGCCCCGGCUAACUACGUGCCAGCAGCCGCGGUAACACGUAGGGGGCGAGCGUUGUCCGGAAUUACUGGGCGUAAAGGGCGUGUAGGCGGCCUUUCAAGUCAGGUGUGAAAUUCCAGGGCCCAACCCUGGGCGUGCACUUGAAACUGGGGGGCUUGAGUGCAGGAGAGGAAAGUGGAAUUCCCAGUGUAGCGGUGAAAUGCGUAGAUAUUGGGAGGAACACCAGUGGCGAAGGCGACUUUCUGGCCUGUAACUGACGCUGAGGCGCGAAAGCUAGGGGAGCAAACAGG
rnacentral:rRNA from 1 species